rnacentral:tRNA from 1 species
UCAUUUAUAGUUUAAGGUUAAAAAUCUUAGCAUUGGAAGCUAGUAUUCAUGGAAGGAGAAACCAUGUAAAUGAA